rnacentral:rRNA from 1 species
AUGCAUGCUCAGUACGGCGAGUGAGCGGCAAAAGCUCAAUUUGAAUCUGAGGCUCUCAAGGCACGAGGUGGAAUUGGAGAAGGUGGUCUGGUGGCAGCCGCCUGGCUACCUUCCAUGGAACCAGACAUCGCAGAAGGUGAAUUCCGUCUUGCCACCGCUGGCUUCGUGGAGAGCGGCAUCGACGAAUCCAGGUGGUGGAAUGGAACUCUAGUGACGUCAUCAUCUAGCUAUAUGCGAGCGACGAUAGCGACAGUACAGUGAUGAAGUGAAGACUUGAAAGAAGUAAAGUACGUAAUUGUUGAAGGGAGGUAUUGAUCAGACUUGUGCUGUGCGAAUAGCGGCUCUCCUGGGAAGGGGAUUUGAAUUAUCGGGGCAACACCGGAUGGGCGGCAGAGCAGUGCGGCGGAACGUGGGACUGCUGCAGUCAAGAGUGUAUAGCCACGCUGAUUGUGCCUGCUAGAACGAUGACUGCGGCUCAUGCCUAGAUGCUGCGUACUGAUCAAAACGUCGUCUACACGUCC